rnacentral:rRNA from 1 species
UUGACCUCGGAUCAGGUAGGGAUACCCGCUGAACUUAAGCAUAAGAUAAGGG